CUAUCUAAGCUAAACUGUAUCUCUAACACUGAAGCCUUAUACAACAAGUGUCAGCAACGUCUUCAUCUCAUGCGUAAACUGAGAUCUUUUAAUUUUAACCCAUCCAUGACGUCAUCAUUUUAUGCAGCAUUUAUUC